rnacentral:rRNA from 1 species
AACGAACGCUGGCGGCAGGCCUAACACAUGCAAGUCGAACGGGCCCUUCGGGGUCAGUGGCAGACGGGUGAGUAACGCGUGGGAACGUGCCCUUCAGUUCGGGAUAACCCAGGGAAACUUGGGCUAAUACCGGAUACGUGCGAGAGCAGAAAGAUUUAUCGCUGAAGGAUCGGCCCGCGUCUGAUUAGCUGGUUGGUGGGGUAAUGGCCCACCAAGGCGACGAUCAGUAGCUGGUCUGAGAGGAUGAUCAGCCACAUUGGGACUGAGACACGGCCCAAACUCCUACGGGAGGCAGCAGUGGGGAAUAUUGGACAAUGGGCGCAAGCCUGAUCCAGCCAUGCCGCGUGAGUGAUGACGGCCUUAGGGUUGUAAAGCUCUUUCGCACGCGACGAUAAUGACGGUAGCGUGAGAAGAAGCCCCGGCUAAGUUCGUGCCAGCCGCCACCGUAA